UGUGUACUAUGAUGAGUUGCAGAAUCAUUUGCCUACAUUGUUUGAGUUUGUGAUAACAUCUGCAAAAUCUGAGUCUUUCA
rfam:Sorghum bicolor cultivar BTx623 chromosome 2, whole genome shotgun sequence.